AUUGAACGCUAGCGGGAUGCCUUACACAUGCAAGUCGAACGAGUGGCGGACGGGUGAGUAAUAUAUCGGAACGUGCCUAGUAGCGGGGGAUAACUACUCGAAAGAGUGGCUAAUACCGCAUACCAUCGGAGCGGCCGAUAUCGGAUUAGCUUGUUGGUGGGGGAAAGGCUCACCAAGGCAACGAUCCGUAGCUGGUUUGAGAGGACGACCAGCCACACUGGGACUGAGACACGGCCCAGACUCCUACGGUAGGCAGCAGUGGGGAAUUUUGGACAAUGGGGGAAACCCUGAUCCAGCCAUGCCGCGUGUAUGAGAAGGCCUUCGGGUUGUAAAGUACUUUUGGCAGAGAAGCGGUAUCUGCAGAAUAAGCACCGGCUAACUACGUGCCAGCAGCCGCGGUAAUUC
rnacentral:rRNA from 1 species